UACAGAGGGUGCGAGCGUUAAUCGGAAUUACUGGGCGUAAAGGGCGCGUAGGCGGUGUAUUAAGUUAGAUGUGAAAUCCCUGGGCUUAACCUAGGAACUGCAUCUGAUACUGGUAUGCUAGAGUGCUGUAGAGGGUAGUGGAAUUUCCGGUGUAGCGGUGAAAUGCGUAGAUAUCGGAAGGAACACCAGUGGCGAAGGCGGCUACCUGGACAGACACUGACGCUGAGGCGCGAGAGCGUGGGGAGCAAACAGG
rnacentral:rRNA from 1 species